UGACAGGAGCUCAGCAUCCCUGUUCAAGGUC
rnacentral:piRNA from 2 species